rnacentral:lncRNA from 1 species
CCGGUGGUGGUGUUCCGCCACAGACCGCUCAACAAAAUUUCCCAACUGAUUCAUUCGGACUACCUGAUGGUGGUGUGCCGCCACAAGUCUCUACUCAGGCAUCGUCCAUGAUGCCACAAGUCCCAGGCCAGGCUGCUUUCCCGCCUCAACCUAACAUUGUUCAGCCUUCUCAGGCUCCAAUGUCUUCACAGCCUCUCGAUCUGAGUGUCCUCGGAGUCG